rnacentral:rRNA from 1 species
GAUGAACGCUGGCGGCGUGCCUAAUACAUGCAAGUCGAGCGAACAGACGAGGAGCUUGCUCCUCUGACGUUAGCGGCGGACGGGUGAGUAACACGUGGAUAACCUACCUAUAAGACUGGGAUAACUUCGGGAAACCGGAGCUAAUACCGGAUAAUAUAUUGAACCGCAUGGUUCAAUAGUGAAAGACGGUUUUGCUGUCACUUAUAGAUGGAUCCGCGCCGCAUUAGCUAGUUGGUAAGGUAACGGCUUACCAAGGCAACGAUGCGUAGCCGACCUGAGAGGGUGAUAGGCCACACUGGAACUGAGACGCGGUCCAGACGCCUACGGGAGGCAGCAGUAGGGAAUCGUCCGCAAUGGGCGAAAGCCUGACGGAGCAGCGCCGAGUGAGUGAUGAAGGUCUUCGGAUCGUAAAACUCUGUUAUUAGGGAAGAACAAAUGUGUAAGUAACUAUGCACGUCUUGACGGUACCUAAUCAGAAAGCCACGGCUAACUACGUG